GGCCUCAUGGUGAAAUUCAUGGCGAAUUGCAAAUUCGUAGAUGUACUUUAGGUAGUACUGAGGCUU